ACAUUUGACAUGCCCCAGUCUUAAUAAUUGCUCUAGGGUGGCUAACAAAAAACUGCCAGAGUUACAUCUCCGGCAGCAUGUUGCUAUGUCUCAGCAUGUGCAGGGUUUCUUACUGAAACCUGCACAUCCAGGAUCCUUGACUAUGGCUACUUUAAAACACUGAAGUGGUCAUGAUGCUUGCAUUAACCCUUCACUGCCUCAAUUCACUGAUGUUUAGGAGUUAAAUUACUUUUGUUUCUGUUUAUGAAGCCAUAGUCACACCAUAGUGAUUCACAUAGCCUACAUAAAAAUGGUUUAACAGAUGUUAGUUUAGAAGUUUCUAUCUCCUGCUCUGUAAAUUGAACUUUGAUCACACACAGGAGGCUCAUGCAGGGUCUUCUAACAGGCUAUUAACAGAGCAGGCAAUAAGAAAUUAUAAAUUAAACAGAAUGUGCAAUAAAGGAAGUGUAAACAUUAGAUCUCUCUUUCCAGGAAGUGUUUAUGAUGGCUGUGCAAGCCACAUGCAGGGGGAAUUAGUAGGGUUGCAUUAACAAAGUGAUUUAACUCCUAAAUUACAUAGAAUUGACUAGUGAGACUGUAGAGGCAUGAAAAAUACACCAAACCUGCUUCAUUAAGAUAAAUUUGUUUUGGUGGCUAUAGUGUCCCUUUAAACUCUGUUUGAGUGGUUCAUUUAUCCUUUGGUGAAGAUAUUGUUGGUGAUAUAUUAAAUGACAAUUAUUCAUGGGUGAACAAAAUGUGUUACUUUCCUAUCCUAUUAAUACUUGGGAUUUUAAAAGAGGUGCCUGCAUAUUCUGUUAUACCAUAAAUAGAACUUGAUGUACUGGAAGCGUAAUCCUUGCUUUAUGAGAAAGUACUACAAGCUUUGGUUUGUUUGUUUUUUUUUCAAAGCAAAUGUUCAAAGCUCCCAAACAGUUGUUAUUCACCGUGUUUGAUUUAUGUUAUAUUUUAUCAGCAAGUAUUAAUGCGUUUUUCUCUUUAAUAUUUGCAGCAAGUCUUUCUGGAAGACAACAGGCAAUGUGAAUUAACCAUCUGCCCUUGGCACCAUGUCAGUUUCUAACACAGCCAAUCAAUAAUUCUUUUGUUGAGAAAUUACACAGGACUUCAGAAAUAUCCUGCUACACCAACCGUGUGUGUACUACUGAACAAGUACCACACUGAAUACCCAAAGAUGAAGAUGUUUUGUUUUUACAUAUUGUCUGUUCUCUAUUUUUCUUCCCUUUCUAUGCAAAUGUAAAUUUAAAAAAAAAUAAUAUGUGGAGUAUUUGGAUAUAGGUAUACAUAUGUUAUUUGUACAAAUAAAUAUAAACAUUAUAAAAACAUGGGGAGGGUGGAUUUAGAAUGUGUAUUUUCACGUAUGUGUGUAUGUACGUAGAUAUAUACACACACUCACAUAUAUCCACAAAAGGUGCAUCUUAAUGACAUGUUAGUGUUAUGAUAAUAUUAUUAGCUUCUGGACAUCAGGACACCAAUACCAGAAUGACAUCAAGACUUGUGAUCACACUGUUAACUAACCACUUUGAGACAUCCCAGAUUGUAACUGUAAUCAAAGUGUUGUAUGUCUGCUUGUGAAGCUGAAAUAUAUAAAGCAUAUGAUACUAAAGCAGCCUGCACUGAAUUACAUUUUU